AGAUACUUCAACAGACUUCUUGACGAAGUGGUUGUUGCCCCAUCUCUAUCAGUGUUUAAGAGGCCUGCUUGCUUGCUGGCCAUCUCACAUAGCAUCCACCCCUCUCUGUGGCAUAAUCCCUGAGCUGGACCUGGUGCAGAAGCAGAACUGUGAUGAGGAUUGUCUUAAUGGGUGGAGCUGGAGAGCGAACUCUCACAGAAGCAUGGAUAUACACAAAUGUCCUGCUGCUGGAUAUCUACCUUGUAAGUCCCAGAUCCUGAUGCUGUGCUCUUCAGAUCCAGUCCUUUACACUGAACUGGUGAGUAUAUGGAGGUAAGUGGCUUUAUUUAGUAGCAUUUUUAUAUUCUACAUAUCUCUGUUGCUUUUAGCAGUUGCUCUGACCUGGCUACCAAGAAUAAAGUAAUAAGAAAUUGUGCUCUGGAGUCUGAGUGCCUCCCAUAGGAGUCUCUCUCCUUGAGGGAAAGGAGUAGAUUAAGAGAAAUUAACAUCUUAAUACUUUGCCCUUUGGGCACUGAUAUCUACUGUUACAGCUUUAGGCAAGUUCAGCCUUCUUCACUCAUUCAGUGCAGAGCAGCAGAAGGGAGCAGACAGAUAUAGGUAUUUAUUAAGAAUCAGGCUUCUUGCUUGCAGCUUGUUCCAGCCCCACUUAAAAGAGCACGCAAAUGGGAAUACUGGGAGUCACUGAACCAAUACUCUGUACUGGCUGUGAUGUACUGUCAGGCGCUAGUAGGAAAUGCGUAGAGAAGGACCAUGUGGAGAGGGCAAAAGCAGACUGAUGUGGCCCCAAGUAAACCUUCCAAGUCUGGGGCAAUGGCCUGUUCCUGAACAAAGGGAUGUGAUUAGACCCAUUGCUGGAAUAGCUACACAGAGGUCUAG